GACUGUUUUGGUGGCCUAAGUGGUUUAAGUGUCUGCCUAAGACACAGAAGGUUGCAGGUUCGAACCCUGGUCAAGUUA